UACGAAGGGGGCUAGCGUUGUUCGGAAUUACUGGGCGUAAAGCGUGCGCAGGCGGCUUCUCAAGUCAGGGGUGAAAGCCCAGAGCUCAACUCUGGAAUUGCCUUUGAGACUGGGUGGCUUGAGUACGAGAGAGGUGAGUGGAAUUCCCAGUGUAGAGGUGAAAUUCGUAGAUAUUGGGAAGAACACCGGUGGCGAAGGCGGCUAUCUGGGCUGAAACUGACGCUGAGGCGCGAAGGCUAGGGUAGCAAACAGG
rnacentral:rRNA from 1 species